AAGCAUAGCAUCAAGUGAAUUCUUGCAAAUGGUCAGUUGGUCCAAGUCAUUGGGUUGGGUAAGGGAAGGCUUUUAUUCAAGUGAUUCAAGAGGUUCGAAACAUAAAAUCUUUAAGGUGGUUUACUCUCGAAACAAGUAGCCUUGACAUUGCACAUAAUAUAUCUAAGAAAGGGAUCAACUCAUGCAUACAAUGUUCAAUCUCCAUUGUUCUACCCUUUUCCCAAACAUACAAUUACACAAUCAUUCUCAAAUGUCAAACCCAACUCACAUCUCUCACCAAAAGAUCCUAAGAACAUUAACUCCUUCUCUUUGAAAUUUACAAGGGAUUUUUCACAGCCUCAAAACAUUACUUAGCUCCUAACAACUUUGCUAGCCCCCUUUUUCUUUCUUUUUCUUUUCUUUUCAUAUUUUUUUUCUUUUUUAGGGUUUAGUGUUUUGUUGACAACAUUUUUUUUUUUUUUUCUUUUUUUUUUAUAUUUUUUUUUUUUUUUUUUUAAAUGGGGGCCAAGACUUUUCAUAACUUGAGCUAGAGGUUUUUUUUUUUUUUACUUAUCCCAGUAAGACAAUUCACUUAAACACAAAGAGUUAUUUCUUUUCCUUUUUCAUUGCUCCCAAAUCAUAAUCACAACUCUCACCCCCCCCCACCUAUAGCUAGACAAUAGAGUGCCCAAUCUAGCAAGAAUGAAGAUCAAGCAUUGUCGUUCCCGAUACUCUCAACAUUAUGCAAAUGUAAGACUUUCCGAAGAAGGCCUCACUCAUCAAACAAUGAAAGCUUAAAAGGAGGGAAAGGUUUUGGGAGUGGUCUACCACUAGAGUUUGUCAGAAUAAGAUUGGCAUAAAGGAUGUGACAACUCAGGUGUGUAUAGCCAUGACUCAGUACACAAGGGACCAUGAGCAAGAAGCAUUAAGUUCGUUCAGUUCAAAUAAGGUUGUAGUUGACUUCAAAGACUGAGUUUCAGCAAUCAACAAGUUUCAGGAAGAGUCUUCAAGGCUCGAAGCAUACAAGUGUUUUUGAGAGGUGCAUAAGCUAUUCAGGUGCAAAGUAAUGUCCUUUACAAGGCAUUUCAAAUCAUUGCUCCUAAUGCAAGUAAAUGCAACCUAUAUGCUCUAGACUCUCCUAGAAAUGCCAAUGAUGCAAACUAAAUGAAUUUUUUUUUUAAUGCAAAUAUAUAUGUAUAAUGCAAUGCAUGAGACUCAAAAUCAUCAAAGCAAACGUGAUCAAAUACUUGG
rnacentral:lncRNA from 1 species